rnacentral:lncRNA from 1 species
UCCACAAAGCAGGUCUCAAUCAUGAGCAACCUAACCCUACUCUCCUCUUCCAUUUCCAGACAUCACAGGAAAAGAACCCUGGGUAUGACCCACUACCAGAGGAUAUCAGGAUGAAUAAAAUAAGACUGUGGACCCCAAGAAGUUGGUUGCCUUGUGGGGAAAACAACACUACUGAAAACCAGAAGGCAGUGAAGCAAUGCCUGGCCUAAGGAUGAAGCCAGCUCUGAGGAAGACAGAGUGAAAAGACAAAAAGAAAG